CCACCAUCACCCUGCAGCUUUGGGACACUGCAGGACAGGAGAGGUUUCGCAGCAUCACUGAGCAGUACUAUCGAAAAGCCGACGGUAUCCUUGCCAUGUAUGACAUAACUCAAUCCUCCUCUUUUGCCGCUGUGAGAGGGUGGAUUGACUCUGUGAAGGAGAAGAUGUGUGAAGGUGCGGUACUGAUGCUGCUGGCAAACAAGCUGGACUUGGCAGACAGUCACAGCAGAGACGUGACAACCAACGAGGGGCAGAGACUAGCAGAG